GAUGAACGCUGGCGGCGUGCCUAAUACAUGCAAGUCGAGCGAACGGACGAGAAGCUUGCUUCUCUGAUGUUAGCGGCGGACGGGUGAGUAACACGUGGAUAACCUACCUAUAAGACUGGGAUAACUUCGGGAAACCGGAGCUAAUACCGGAUAAUCUUUUGAACCGCAUGGUUCAAAAGUGAAAGACGGUCUUGCUGUCACUUAUAGAUGGAUCCGCGCUGCAUUAGCUAGUUGGUAAGGUAACGGCUUACCAAGGCAACGAGGCAUAGCCGACCUGAGAGGGUGAUCGGCCACACGGGAACUGAGACACGGUCCAGACUCCUACGGGAGGCAGCAGUAGGGAAUCUUCCGCAAUGGGCGAAAGCCUGACGAAGCAACGCCGCGUGAGUGAUGAAGGUCUUCGGAUCGUAAAACUCUGUUAUUAGGGAAGAACAUAUGUGUAAGUAACUGUGCACAUCUUGACGGUACCUAAUCAGAAAGCCACGGCUAACUACG
rnacentral:rRNA from 1 species